AUGUAUAGAAAUGUUAAAAGAAAAAUGUAGUGAACACCUUUUACCUAGACUCAUUAAUUGUUAACUUGUUAAUGUUUUUAUUCUCUCUCUCUCUCUCAUUCUAUCACUAUUAGAGUGAUUUAUUCAAUUUACAGAUUUAUUCAAUUCAAUGUAUUAGCAAUUAGUGACAUCUUCUUGAUGUUUAAAGUCUCUUAAAUUUACAGAGAUACACUUCAAGCCUGUAUCUGUUUCCUUUAAACGUGAAAUUGUUAGUAUUUAGACAAUUCCUGCCUUGAAUUAUGUUGGAAACAAAUGUUUGCAUUAUACCUGUUUAUUAAAGAGAUAUAGAAAUUCAACAAUAUCUAUUGAACUUACUACAUAAUCUUACGUUAUUUAAAAAUUUGCCUCUAGAUUCUUAUGGGUCUUCUAAGUAUGUGACCCUAUCAUGUGUGCACAAUGUCAGCUCUGUUUCUUCUCUAUUUUCUGUUGAGAUUUUCUCUUUGUCUGCAGUUUUGUGCAGUUUCAGUAUAUAAUAUCUAGGAAUGGAUUUCUGCUUAUUUUUCAUGUGAUAUUCAUUGACCACUUGAGUGUUCAGAGAUGACUUCUAUAACUGUUUAAAACUUACCAGUAUUUUAAGUAUUGUCUCUGCACCCUACUUUCUAAUAUACUUGUGGGUUCACAACUGGCAAUCAUGCAAUCUAAAAAUAAUAAAAGUUUUUUAUUUCUGUGAUAGGUUUUUGAAUUUCAGUUGACUUCAGAGGAUAUGAAAGCCAUAGAUGGCCUAAACAGAAAUCUCCGAUAUUUUAAUGGUGAUAGUCUCGCUAGCCACCCUAAUUAUCCAUAUUCAGAUGAAUAUUAACAUGGAGGGCUUUGCCUGAAGUCUACCAGAAGCCCUGUGUGUGGAUGGUGAUGCAGACGACGUCUCUAUGCUGGUGACUGGACCCAUCACCUCUUUAAAUCCAUUCUGCUUAGCGACUUCAGUCAACCAGAGCUAAAUCCACAGGCCAGAAAGACAAUAAAUUUUUAUCAUGUUGAAAUAAU